rnacentral:rRNA from 1 species
UGGACCUAGCGGCGGACGGGUGAGUAAUGCUUAGGAAUCUGCCUAUUAGUGGGGGACAACAUCUCGAAAGGGAUGCUAAUACCGCAUACGUCCUACGGGAGAAAGCAGGGGAUCUUCGGACCUUGCGCUAAUAGAUGAGCCUAAGUCGGAUUAGCUAGUUGGUGGGGUAAAGGCCUACCAAGGCGACGAUCUGUAGCGGGUCUGAGAGGAUGAUCCGCCACACUGGGACUGAGACACGGCCCAGACGCCUACGGGAGGCAGCAGUAGGGAAUCUUCCACAAUGGGCGAAAGCCUGAUGGAGCAACGCCGCGUGAGUGAAGAAGGUUUUCGGAUCGUAAAACUCUGUUGUAAGGGAAGAACAAGUGCGUUAGGUAAUGAACGCACCUUGACGGUACCUUAUCAGAAAGCCACGGCUAACUACGUGCCAGCAGCCGCGGUAAU